GUGCUCAGUUCAGCAGCACACAUACUAAAAUUGAAACAAUACAGAGAUUAGCAUGGUCCCUACGCAAGGAUGACAUCCAAAUUCGUGAAGUGUUCCAUAUUGUU
ensembl:snRNA U6 U6 spliceosomal RNA